GAUGAACGCUGGCGGCGUGCCUAAUACAUGCCAGUCGAGCGAACGGACGCGAAGCUUGCUUCUCUGAUGUUAGCGGCGGACGGGUGAGUAACACGUGUAUAACCUCCCUAUAAGACUGGGAUAACUUCGGGAAACCGGAGCUAAUACCGGAUAAUAUUUUGAACCGCAUGGUUCAAAAGUAAAAUACGGUCUUGCUGUCACUUCUAGAUGGAUCCGCGCUGCAUUAGCUAGUUGGUAAGGUAACGGCUUACCAAGGCAACGAUGCAUAGCCGACCUGAGAGGGUGAUCGGCCACACUGGAACUGAACCACGGUCCAGACUCCUACGGGAGGCAGCAGUAGGGAAUCGUACGCAAUAGGCGAAAGCCUGACAGAGCAACGCCGCGUGAGUGAUGAAGGUCUUCGGAUCGUAAAGCUCUGUUAUUAGGGAAGAACAUAUGUGUAAGUAACUGUGCACAGCUUGACGGUACCUAAUAAGAAAGCCACGGCUAACUACGUG
rnacentral:rRNA from 1 species